UUUUUUUCCAAACAGCAACUGCAAUCAGUUUGAUAUUGAUUGGAUAAGCAUUCUGCACAUACAAAUAUGACCACUUGUUCCCCUGUCGUGCUGUUUGAAAAACAACAGAGCAUGGCUGAAGUGAUGGAAACUUUGUAAUGGAUUCCAAUGAAGUAUCAAAAUGCAAGUCCUCUCCUGUUUUUGGCAAGACACCACAUCAAGGAGAUCUGCAUGAAAGUGCGAGAACAAAACCAGCAUCGACCUGCACACCCAGGAACAGACAGCGACAAUAACAGAUACUUAAGGCGACAUUGGUUCUUUUUGUUUACCUGCCAUCUCUUCAACAAAAACCAAUUACCACCAGCGACUUAAUCAAGGUCAAGCCUCAGCACUCACUCAUACACUGCACAGCGAAGUGCCAAAUGAAUGUCGAAUCUCUGCACAGGUGUGUGUGCGCCCUAACAGGUCAGCUGUCUGCCCACAGGAAGUUAGUUUCAUACACCAUCAGCCCUCUUCCUCCAGGUCCUCUCACAGCACUGAUGGACGGGCAUCUCAAUGGCCAUGGGCAGAUCAUGUGUUGCAUAUGCAACUGUGUGAUGCUGAUGAACAGGGGAGCCUCAAAGGCCUUCUUGAGUGCACCGCAAUUAGUUGAGGAAAAUCCCAGUUUUUUAAUGGAUUCACUAUUGCCAAAAGAGCUGUCAAGGCUGUGGUGCGCUCCAGCUUCAACCUGUCGCAGUUGUAAUCUUGUGUGUAUUUAGUUCCUAUCCUCAUCUCAGGGUGAAAAGGCUCAUCGGAAGCUGCGGUAUGUGAGUUAGUCUUCUAUUAUGUCAUCAUUAUGAGCCUCUGCUCGUUCAAGUGUUGUUCAAAUACGUCUAACGUCUGGUGUUUUUGCACAUUUGGUCUCGAGCAAUCUAGUCAAUCGCACAACUGUGACGAGGAAAAGCUAGAGCCAAUUCAAAAAGCUUAAUAUAAC
rnacentral:lncRNA from 15 species